AUGCCAGUGAUUGGCUUAGGAAUGGCCACGGG
rnacentral:piRNA from 1 species